UACGGAGGGUGCAAGCGUUAUCCGGAUUUACUGGGUUUAAAGGGUGCGUAGGUGGGUUGGUAAGUCAGUGGUGAAAUACUUUCGCUUAACGAAGGAACUGCCAUUGAUACUACCAGUCUUGAAUACAGUGGAGGUAGGCGGAAUGCGUCAUGUAGCGGUGAAAUGCUUAGAUAUGACGCAGAACACCAAUUGCGAAGGCAGCUUGCUACACUGUUAUUGACACUGAGGCACGAAAGCGUGGGGAUUAAACAGG
rnacentral:rRNA from 1 species